AAUAUUUUUGAGUUCCUGUGAAGGAGAUAUAGUAGAUGUGAAGUGUCUGUGGGAAAGAUAACGGGUGCAAGGUAUCUAUUUGGGAGAUUGGGGGUGCAAGGUGUCGGUGGAGAAGAGAAGAGGUGCAAGGUGUAUUCUGUGAGGGGGAGAUAGGGGUGAACUGAGCCUGUGGGGGAGAUAGAAGGUGUAUUGUGUCUGUGGGGGGAAUGAUCGGUGUAUA